rnacentral:rRNA from 1 species
UACGUAGGGGGCAAGCGUUGUCCGGAGUUAUUGGGCGUAAAGAGCGUGUAGGCGGCCAGGGAGGUCCGUUGUGAAAACUCGAGGCUCAACCUCGAGACGCCGAUGGAAACCCCCUGGCUAGAGUCCGGAAGAGGAGAGUGGAAUUCCUGGUGUAGCGGUGAAAUGCGCAGAUAUCAGGAAGAACACCCGUGGCUAAGGCGGCUCUCUAGUACGGUACUGACGCUGAGACGCGAAAGCGUGGGGAGCGAACAGG